rnacentral:rRNA from 1 species
UACGGGGGGGCAAGCGUUGUUCGGAAUUACUGGCGUAAAGGGCUCGUAGGUGGCCAACUAAGUCGGACGUGAAAUCCCUCAGCUUAACUGGGAACUGCGUCCGAUACUGGAUGGCUCUAGUUUGGGAGAGGGAUGCGGAAUUCCAGGUGUAGCGGUGAAAUGCGUAGAUAUCUGGAGGAACACCGGUGGCGAAGGCGGCAUCCUGGACCAACACUGACACUGAGGAGCGAAAGCCAGGGAGCAAACGGG